AUCGAGACUAUGUUUAACCGACUUUCUAGAUUUCAAAAGGAGGAGGUUCUCAAUUCGGUUGUAUGUUUUUUUUUUACUCAACACCAACAGUAGCACCAGAUAUCAAACAGAUAAAACAUUUAAAAAUACACCUAUACAUAUCUAAUAAUUAAAAUGACUGAAUCAGAUAUCUCAACCCUUCGAUCCAAUCUAUUCCCCAGUACUGCCCUCUGGCGGACCACAUGCAGCGCCUUUAAUUGGAAAUUGGCCCUCUAUUUGUAAUGCUUACGGCCUUGCAGGGCUUCACGCUGUGUGGUCACCCUAGCGUUUUUUACUUUUUAAAUAAUUUGUAGGGCUGCUACGGUUUUGAUUGGUUACUUUGGUUGCCGAAUGAUGAAUUAUACGUUUGAGCGAUGGGAAUUGUGAUAUAGUAACUAAAUGGGAUGUUUAGUGCCGGCUGGUUAAACUUGUGUAGACAUUUACAUAUAUUUGAUGAUGGUAGAAGUUAAAAAUAGAAUGAAAAGAUAAUUUGUUUCUAAAAUGAAUAAUCAUGUAUCUUAAAUAUACUUAAAUACAUGAUCAAACAUACAGAUAAUGGUUUCCUAUUAUAGUCUGUCAAGCCAUUGCUGUCAGUAGAAAUAAGCGGCAAAUGUAUUAAAAAAAAAUAGACGCGAAUGGUUAUCAUCCCAUAGAAAAUUCGAAUUUCGCGAAUUUUUCUACUGACAAAAUUGUUUGACAGUCUAUAUAUUUACACUAGGCAUACAUAUACAUUCAGUGUAAAUAUACUUAUAUAUAUAAAUUACAUGAGUUAAUAUGGUGUUUACAAGAAACGUCAAGAAACGAUUAAUAAUAUUUUAAAUACCUUUUCAGCAGAACAUGCGUACCGAAAACGCCUAGUAGCAAAUUUUAUGCCACCUACGUAACAAGAAAUAUGACACCUGGCUCGUCGUUGUUUAUUUGCAUCGCAAUGUUUUCGGUUGUCAUGUACCUGACACCAUACAAAUUAGCUGACGUGCUCUAAUUAGCAUAAACUUUUAGUGAGUUAGCACAUCACAAUUGUACACGUGUUUUAUAACACUAUAGCUAACUGGACUGUAAAGCUGUAGUGUGCCUAAAAUGUUUUGUAGUGAAAUAUUCGUGUUUGAGGUUAAUUAAUUAGUAGCAUUUAUUAGUAACCGAAGUUUUCAAUAAUUAAUUAAUGAAUUGUAAACUGUUACCGUGCACGUCCUGUAACGUUACGUGUUUACAUCAUGUAAAAUCACGUUUAAUAUAAAGUACCCGACGAAUACUGCCUCUCCCCCCUAAACCGGAGCGACUGCGGGACACCCCCGACCCCCGUAUUCUCAUACUUCAAGUACGGCUCGAGGUGCGAGAUCGAGACCUGGCGCGGGUGUCCAACAGAUAAUAUGUUCGAAAACGAAUACCACUGCUCCCACUACUGUAUAGGGAAGACGAAGUAUUAUGGACGGGAACGAGGUCUCUUAUUUAUAUAGUUAAUCCUUGAACUGUCUUUCACUUUUUAGUGUUGGUUAUUUUCUCAUUUUCUUAAAGGUUAGCUGGAAAAGAUAUUUUUUAUUUAGGGAUAAGUUCGUCUUUGUACAUAUACCUACUUACAUCUUUUACUUUGUUCCGGAUUUUUUGGGUAAACUUGUUUAUAUUCAGUAAAGUGUCGUAUAUUAUACAUUGCAUACUUUACUAGCUCUAGCGGCGCUCCUCUUGCGUGGGAUUCAAUAGAGAUAGACACCACGAUGGUCUAAUUUUGGUACAAAGCUAAAUAAUCAUAAGUGUCAUCAAAUUAGUAGACUGUUUGCAAAUAAUCCUAGACACAGAGUUAGUUUGGCAUUUAUAACAAUAUUAAUAGACACUUUAUGGCCUCUACAUGUUAGAUUUAUAUCCCCACGCAAGCCCAUCAAAAGACCGGGAUUUAUAGGCCCGUGUAAUCCAAGGAAAGCCAAGGAUAAAUACUUUAUUAGUCUAGCUUUCCUCAAAGUAAGUUUUCAAGCAUCAGACUUUCCUAUACCUAUUUAUUUAUUGCUGUGAUAAUUGACACUUAAAAUCAGAAUAUUGUUACAGGAUCCUGGAAAAGGAAAGUCAGAAUUUCCAUAGAACAUUUGAGUUUUAACGAACUGGAAGAAAUACAGCGCAUUGUAAACAAAAUAGAUAUCACAAUUGAAUCAAAAGAAAUGUUAUCGCUUAAGAAACGACCUAAGAUACCAAAUAAAACUACAGUUAAAGUCAUUGAAGACACAGAUAAAGGAACUACCGUUGAAGCCAGUGAAGAAAAUAUGGAUGAAAUAACUACAGUUGAAGCCAGUGAAGAAAAUAUGGAUGAAAUAACUUUAGUUGAAGCCAGUAAAGAAGAUAUGGAUGAAACAGCGGAAGAAUAUGGCGAGCUUGACGAAACCACACUAGUAUUUUUGACUCAAGAACCUGUUACAGGAACUUAUGUAAUCAAAGGAGAAAUUCUAAAAUUUAAACGAAAUAAAAAUAAUUCAACCAGACACUUUCUUUAACAUCAAGUCAAAAGUCUACAAAUUAACAGUUGAUGAAAUCGAUCUUGAUGAAAUGGGAAAAUAAACAAGUUGUUUUUCAAAAAUAAACCAUUUUGAUACAACGUU